GCCAGACUCCUACGGGAGGCAGCAGUGGGGAAUAUUGCACAAUGGGGGGAACCCUGAUGCAGCGACGCCGCGUGGGUGAAGGAGUACUUCGGUACGUAAAGCCCUAUCAGCAGGAAAGAAAAUGACGGUACCUGACUAAGAAGCCCCGGCUAACUACGUGCCAGCAGCCGCGGUAAUACGUAGGGGGCAAGCGUUAUCCGGAUUUACUGGGUGUAAAGGGAGCGUAGACGGCAGUGCAAGUCCGGGGUGAAAGCCCGGGGCUCAACCCUGGGACUGCUCUGGAAACUGUAAAGCUGGAGUGCGGGAGGGGCAAGCGGAAUUCCUGGUGUAGCGGUGAAAUGCGUAGAUAUUAGGAGGAACACCAGUGGCGAAGGCGGCUCACUGGACGGUAACUGACGUUGAGGCUCGAAAGCGUGGGAAGCAAACAGGAUUAGAUACCCGGGUAA
rnacentral:rRNA from 1 species